rfam:Amborella trichopoda AMTR_V1.0_contig_15076, whole genome shotgun sequence.
CAAAUGGAUUUUUUAAAAUCCAUUGUUUCAUUAAUUUUCAACUUAU